GGAAGGAUCAUUAACACUAAUCCAAUCAUCUCAACCUAGCCUUCUGUUGUAGCUUCAGUUCUUGUAGGCGUAAGCUGGCUUGAGCUGCUGCUACAUCAAAAAACUUAUCAUCCAAAGGAGCCUAAUUAAGCUCAAACACUAAAACCAAAUUCUCAACGAUGGAUAUCUUGGUUCCCAUAACGAUGAAGAACGCAGCGAAGUGCGAUAAGCAAUGCGAAUUGCAGAACCGUGAGUCAUCAGAUCUUUGAACGCAACUGGCGCCUAUUGGAAUCCCGAUAGGCAUGCUUGUUUCAGUGUCUCAUUCUCUCCUCACCUAUAUCAUAAUGCUUGAGAUACCCUUCUCUUGCUAAACAUGAAAGCACUCUGCACUCUGCAAGCAGCUUCUUUUGAGGCUUGCAACUCAAUGCAGCAGUCACAUUUCACAAUGUGAACUCAUUGAGAGUAGAGGCAGCUCAGCCUAGCUGUAAGUGCUUAGGUACCUAAUCUUUACUUGCAUCUGAAAUCAAGCAGGAUCACCCGCUGAACUUAAGCAUAUCACUAAGCGGAGGAAAAGAAAUUAACUAAGAUUGCCUCAGUAAUGGCGAAUGAAGCGGCAAAAGCCCAAACUGGAAAUCUUCACGCUGCGCGUGACGAAUUGUAAUCUAAAGGUGGUCAUCUCAACGAAUGGAGACGCAGAAGUGACUUAGAACGGUCCGCCAGAGAGGGUGACAGCCCCGUAUGUGGUGUCUCUAUUCAACGAGAGGCUUUCUAAGAGUCGGGUUGUUUUGUAUUGCAGCCCUAAGUGGGAGAUAAACUUCUUCUAAGGCUAAAUAUAUAUGGGAAACCGAUAGCGAACAAGUACUGUGAAGGAAAGAUGAAAAGAACUUUGAAAAGAGAGUCAAAAGACUUGAAAUCGCUGAGAAGGAAGGGAUAGAAGUUUAUAUUUCUGGUGAGGAUGAUGGUGUUCGUCUAACCAUUGGGGCUUGUUGACUCUUCAAACGGUCACUGGUUUCACUUGGGGAAGCGAUAGCUGGAUCCUCAUUGGUUAGUCAAAAUGAGGUCAAGUAUCUACAAAAACUUCUAGAACCUGGGGCGGUUCGCUGCUCAGUUCUGGUGUGUUAGUAGGCAUUUGGCCUGAGGAAGCCUUGUGCGAUUUUGACAAAAUGGCUUUUAUCCACCCGUCUUGAAACACGGACCAAGGAGUCUAACAUAUAUGCAAGUAUGCUGGUGGAAAAACCAACAUGCGUAAUGAAAGUGAGUGAUGCCAAGCGCAAGCAGCAGCAUCAACCGACCAUGAUCCUCUGGUGAAAGGUUUGAGUAUGAGCAUAUCUGUUAGGACCCGAAAGAUGGUGAACUAUGCCUGAGUAGGGUGAAGUCAGGGGAAACUCUGAUGGAGGCUCGUAGCGGUUCUAACGUGCAAAUUGAUCGUCUAACUUGGGUAUAGGGGCGAAAGACUAAUCGAACCAUCUAGUAGCUGGUUCCCUC
rnacentral:misc_RNA from 1 species